UGAACCUCUCCCUCUUCCAUUCUACACUCCCUCUUCCACAAUGGAACCCCUCUUCCAUUCCAUUCAACUUCUCGACAGCGCAUUCCACACUCCCAAUUCCAUAAUGGAACCCCACAAGCGGAACAACACUCCAUGGCACCCAAACGAGCAUCGACAACAACAGCGAUGACCAGUAGCGGCAAAGAGAAGAGGCCAAUGGUUUCGAAAAAAGCUAAGGUCUAUAAGAAGGUCACCUUUAAUAAAGGUUUUUGCCAAAGGUGUUGACAAGGAAAUGGUUGUAUUGAUGGCUGCAAGAGAUUCAAGGUUGGAGAAGGAAGAUGCUAUUGAUGCUGCAAUUGUGGCAAUGUUGGAUGAUCCUAAUGAGGAAUUACAGAGGUACACUUCCAUUUAAUCCAACUGAUAAAAGUACAUCGCUUACAUACAUUGACAACUUUGGUAAAAUGCAUAGAGCUAGCAAGGGUGCACCAGAGCAGGUUCUGAUAUAUGAUUUGCGUUCUUCAUGUCCUAUCCGAAUUAAGGAUCACAUGUGAGUGGACUUUCACCAGAUGGUGCAUACACCUGGAUAUUCUUGCACAAAAACUGGGUCAAACUUUCUUUUCUUGUAAACCCUCUUUGUUUUAUAGGUAUGGCAGUCCAAUAUUGAACAUCAAGUGGCAUCGAACUCUUAAUUCUGAAUGAAUGAAGUUGAUUACCUAUUGAUAAUCAUAUUGUUAGAAUAUGGGAUCCUGAGACGGGGGAUGGCAUGACCAGCAUUGAACCGACUGAAACAAUAAAUGAUAUACAGAGGAUGGUAGGUUGGAGUCUCUAGUUUUUAUAUUUGAUGUCAAAAUUCAUCGGUUGUAUACAUGAUGAGUAGUAGGAUGAGAGGCAACUAUACUGUGUGAGUUUCACAUAAUUUUUCCAUCUUAUGGAAAAUCUGUGUCAAAUUGUCAAAGAUCAAUGGAAAUUGAUACUCUAACGUUUGUUUUGACAACA